UACGGAGGGUGCAAGCGUUAAUCGGAAUUACUGGGCGUAAAGCGCACGCAGGCGGUUGGAUAAGUUAGAUGUGAAAGCACCGUGCUCAACCUGGGAAUUGCAUUUAAAACUGUCCAGCUAGAGUCUUGUAGAGGGGUGUAGAAUUCCAGGUGUAGCGGUGAAAUGCGUAGAGAUCUGGAGGAAUACCGGUGGCGAAGGCGGCGCCCUGGACAAAGACUGACGCUCAGGUGCGAAAGCGUGGGCAGCAAACAGG
rnacentral:rRNA from 1 species